GGCGGACGGGUGAGUAAUAUAUAGGUAAUGUGCCCUAGAGAGGGGGAUAACAGUUGGAAACGACUGCUAACACCCCAUAUGCCUUUAAGACAAAAGUCUGCAAGGGAAAUAUUUAUAGCUCUAGGAUCGGCCUGUACGGUAUCAGCUAGUUGGUGAGGUAAUGGCUCACCAAGGCAAUGACGCCUAACUGGUUUGAGAGGAUGAUCAGUCACACUGGAACUGAGACACGGUCCAGACUCCUACGGGAGGCAGCAGUGGGGAAUAUUGCACAAUGGGGGAAACCCUGAUGCAGCAACGCCGCGUGGAGGAUGACACAUUUCGGUGCGUAAACUCCUUUUAUAUAGGAAGAUAAUGACGGUACUAUAUGAAUAAGCGCCGGCUAACUCCGUGCCAGCAGCCGCGGUAAUACGGAGGGCGCAAGCGUUACUCGGAAUCACUGGGCGUAAAGAGCGUGUAGGCGGGUUAAUAAGUUUGAAGUGAAAUCCUAUGGCUCAACCAUAGAACUGCUUUGAAAACUGUUAACCUAGAAUAUGGGAGAGGUAGAUGGAAUUUCCGGUGUAGGGGUAAAAUCCGUAGAGAUCAGAAGGAAUACCGAUUGCGAAGGCGAUCUACUGGAACAUUAUUGACGCUGAGACGCGAAAGCGUGGGGAGCAAACAGGAUUAGAUACCCUGGUAGUCCACGCCCUAAACGAUGUACACUAGUUGUUGUGAGGCUAGACCUUGCAGUAAUGCAGUAAACACAUUAAGUGUACCG
rnacentral:rRNA from 1 species